CAGGCAGAGAGCUUGCAGAGAGCAGCAGGGCAGGGAGCUCUGCUGAACUUCCUAAAUGCCAGUGAGCCUGACAUGAUUGAUGUGUGGGAGCUGGAGAACUGUAAGAGGGAAGGGCAGCAGCAGAAGAAAUGAGGGGCUUGAGAAAAGCCGGUUUUGACAUACUGCAGAGUGGGUUUGUGGGGACUUGGCUGGUGAUCAGCACUGGCUGUUUGGUACCUGAAGAGGGACUAGUGAUCUAAACCCAUUCCCAUACCACCCCAAAGGCCAGUGGAGGCAGUGAGACCCCAGAACAUGUUGAUGCCAAACAUGUGGAUUGCAGCUGGGAAUGUAGCCACACUUGCAGAGAAGCAAGAAUGGGGAGAGAGGUGGCAAAUGUGUGACAGGACCUCUCCCUCACCAGUUCCCUUUCUGUUCCCCAUCCUGGGCCAAGCUGCAGCAUCAGUUUGACUUUUCCUGGAACAGUCUAGCUAAGAGCAUGGCUAAACAUCUUGACCCAUGAAUGGGGGCAAGGCUGGAUGCUUGAUCUGAGCACUGUGUUCCGCUCUUUCCAGGCUUCCUUGCUGUAUGCCACAGAAGGGGAUGUGAAGAAGGGGUCACUGGGACCCCCUCUGAUCCCCCCUACACGCAAGGCAGUCAGUCCCGUUGUUGGCAGUGCUGCAGGGUCUCUGCACAGCUCUCUGCAGCUGCAUGUCCAAGAGUCCCAGGAGAUGAGGCCAAGAUGCAGCAGCAGAAGCAAAGAGGAGGACCCUGAACAUGGAGGCCUGGCUGGCUCGUCCACCAAGACCUUUUCCCUGGACACAUCCUGUGUUCUCUUACCCUCAAAGUCCUUGCCUCCUGUCCAGAAGAGCUCUUUCCUCAGCUCAGGAAGAAGCUGCC
rnacentral:lncRNA from 12 species